rnacentral:tRNA from 1 species
UGCCCAGGUGGCGAAACUGGCAGACGCGCUGUCUUGAGGGGACAGUGCCCGCAAGGGCGUGUGGGUUCAAAUCCCACCCUGGGCACUCU